UAUACGGCAAAAUCGAUUCUUUUUUCUUUUUUUUCUCAGUUUAUCUGCAAAACGUAUUCUGAAAUUUUGAUUUCCUAUCCAAGAGUCCGCUCAUUGAUUCCUCUUCCUUUCUUCUCACCUUCUCUACAAAACCUUUACCAUACCCAAGAGUCACUUUUUUUUUUACUUCAGGCUUGUGAACUCUUAUUCUCGAAAUCAACUUUUGUGUGGUUCUCUUAGAAAUCCUAUAUUCCUAUUUCUGGAUUUAUGAUUCUGGAAAUUGGAAUUUUGAUUUUUUUGGUAGUUGUCGGAUGGGAAACAGAUGACAAAGCGGUUAUAGGCGUUUCAGACAAAAAAGAAACAAGAGCUAAAGGAGAAUCACGAUAAGUUACAAAGAGAUUUACAGUAAAAAUAUUUGAUUCAAAAGCAUUAAAAUUAGAGCUUUUUGUUUUGUUUUGUCUCUGAACAUGAAAUAAACAUCUGAUUUGUUAGACGUGAUUUUGUGCACUUAUGAUCCAGAGGGAGGCAUAAGGCUUGCUAACAGGGUCUUGAAUGGGGAAGCAAAAACCUAGAAAAACUGAAGGUUUUCGUAGGAUCUCUUGCAUUCGCUAAACCAUUUGGUUGUUGUAAGGAAACUUAUUCUUCCUCUGCGUUUUCCUCUACCAAAAGGUUUUGUUUUUGUUUAUCAUACAUUUUCACUUUCAAUAUUGUUAUCAUUUUUGAGUUUUAGCAGCCUAACUAUGAUAAUAUGAAACUGGGAGACUUCAUGAUAAAACCCACCAUAAAGAGAAAGGAGGAGGAACAAGAACAUAGAAAUCAGAUUUGAUAAAAGAAACGACAUUUGAUAAAAGUUGCUUGCGGCUGGAGGUGGAAUGUAUGUGGAAGUUCUCAACAGAGUGAUUCCAUUGGCUUACAACAUCAUAAAGAAGAAUAAAGUCGGAGAAACUAACACUUACGUGGAUGGAACCUACUUUUGUUUCACUUACUUAACCAAACUUGAAUCCAUUACUCCAGUCGAGACUGCUCUUACUGCCCAGAACGACGUUAUUCGAUUUUAUUCCUUAGAGAUAAAGAAGAAGUACAACUGAAAAGAUGAUGAACAUUGCAUGUGUGUAUGUGACCACAUUUAGGAUUCUAGAUGUUCCCUCCGAAUUAAAGUAAAUCUAUAUUUAUUUCGUAUGUGUCGUUGUAUCAUUUUUUGAAUAGUGCUCUGUUUUCUUUAUCUACCGAGUGUGAGAAACUGUAAUUCAAUUUUUAUUAUGUCAGCUAUUUAAACUC